rnacentral:rRNA from 1 species
UACGUAGGGUGCAAGCGUUGUCCGGAAUUAUUGGGCGUAAAGAGCUCGUAGGCGGUUUGUCGCGUCUGCUGUGAAAACUCGGGGCUUAACUCCGGGCCUGCAGUGGGUACGGGCAGACUAGAGUGCGGUAGGGGAGACUGGAAUUCCUGGUGUAGCGGUGAAAUGCGCAGAUAUCAGGAGGAACACCAGUGGCGAAGGCGGCACUCUGGGCCGGAACUGACGCUGAGGAGCGAAAGCGUGGGGAGCGAACAGG